UACGUAGGGUGCGAGCGUUGUCCGGAAUUAUUGGGCGUAAAGAGCUUGUAGGCGGUUUGUCGCGUCUGCUGUGAAAUCUCAAGGCUCAACCUUGAGCUUGCAGUGGGUACGGGCAGACUAGAGUGUGGUAGGGGAGACUGGAAUUCCUGGUGUAGCGGUGAAAUGCGCAGAUAUCGGGAAGAACACCCGUGGCGAAGGCGGCCCUCUGGGACGGUACUGACGCUGAGACGCGAAAGCGUGGGGAGCGAACAGG
rnacentral:rRNA from 1 species